CCUUAUGCAGCAACCCCCCCGUGAGCGAUGAAAGGCCCUUCGGGUUCGUAAAAGCUCUGUCCUCCAAGGAAGAUAAAUAACGGUACUUGAGGAGGAAAGCCCCGGCUAACUACGUGCCAGCAGCCGCGGUAAUACGUAGGGGGCUAGCGUUAUCCGGAAUUACUGGGCGUAAAGGGUGCGUAGGUGGUUUUUUAAGUCAGAAGUGAAAGGCUACGGCUCAACCGUAGUAAGCUUUUGAAACUAGAGAACUUGAGUGCAGGAGAGGAGAGUAGAAUUCCUAGUGUAGCGGUGAAAUGCGUAGAUAUUAGGAGGAAUACCAGUAGCGAAGGCGGCUCUCUGGACUGUAAACUGACACUGAGGCACGAAAGCGUGGGGAGCAAACAGGAUUAGAUACCCUGGUAGUCCACGCCGUAAACGAUGAGUACUAGGUGUCGGGGGUUACCCCCCUCGGUGCCGCA
rnacentral:rRNA from 1 species